rnacentral:rRNA from 1 species
GAACGCGAAGAACCUUACCUGGUCUUGACAUGUACGGAACCCUCCAGAGACGGAGGGGUGCCUUCGGGAGCCGUAACACAGGUGCUGCAUGGCUGUCGUCAGCUCGUGUCGUGAGAUGUUGGGUUAAGUCCCGCAACGAGCGCAACCCUUGUCAUUAGUUGCCAUCAUUAAGUUGGGCACUCUAAUGAGACUGCCGGUGACAAGCCGGAGGAAGGUGGGGAUGACGUCAAGUCCUCAUGGCCCUUAUGACCAGGGCUUCACACGUCAUACAAUGGUCGGUACAGAGGGUAGCCAAGCCGCGAGGUGGAGCCAAUCUCACAAAACCGAUCGUAGUCCGGAUUGCACUCUGCAACUCGAGUGCAUGAAGUCGGAAUCGCUAGUAAUCGCAGGUCAGCAUACUGCGGUGAAUACGUUCCCGGGUCUUGUACACACC